GCUGGGUGUGGUGGUGUGUGCCUGUAAUGCCAGCUACUCAGGAGGCUGAGGUGGGAGAAUCGCUUGAGCCCAGGAGUUCCAGGCUGCAGUGAGCCAUGAUCAUAUCACUGCCCUCCAGCCUGGGCAACAGAGCAAGACCCUGUCUCUU
ensembl:misc_RNA Metazoa_SRP Metazoan signal recognition particle RNA